rnacentral:misc_RNA from 1 species
UUGGUGCUUGAUAUAACACUUAAAAGAUAUGAAAAACAUGAUUCAAGUAACAAUAUUCCAUAAAGUUUAGUCUACCUAUUCGUAUUUUCAAUUUCAAAAUUUUGAAUGGUAACAAAAUAGAAAACAAAAAUCUUUAUAUGACAAAGAAUCUGUGUUUUCUUUAUUCGGCUGGAAAGCGAAAAUUUGUGUUAUUCAGAAAAUGUAAUAUAACGUAGUUUGGGUGAGCUUUCUAUCUCGACAUUGUGGUGUGUUUGUCACCCGUUAAUUGGACACAAACACCUUACUUUCCACCGGUUUCAAUAAAAAAACCACCCGACGAUGGAAUGCUGUCAGCGAGCAGCAUGGAAGACGCAGAGAGAGUGGUGGUCAGGUGGUGGUGGAGACAGGGAGAGUAUGUGGCCUGGAGAUUAACAAACAGAACACCAAUAAUCUUGUGACCUCCAUGCAUCCUUCCUAAUGUCAAUAAAGUUGUCUUAUCAUGCCCAAAA